AGUAUCACUGGUCUAAAUCCAUAUAGAAGCAUUCUAGGCGAUGCAAUUGAUCCAAAACAUAGAUCUAGCCUCCUACAACCCAUCCAUCACGUAAAGUGGCAAACUUUACGUGAAUCCAAAGAGAUCUAGGCCUUUUACACUCUAGGGCUAGGGUUUGGGACAUGAUGGCUUCACUAAGCACUCAACCACAGGGACUUUAAUGCACUCUAGACCUUCCCCAUUCCAGAUCUGAGGUAGCAACCUCAGAUCUAACCUCCAAACUCCAAAACAUCCCAAGAUAAGCUCCCCAUAAACCCCAAAAUGAAGAAUCUAUAUAAGUGACAGCCCAAGAAUGAGAUAAUACCUCAAAAGAACGCCCCAACGGCAAUGAAACUCGAAUCCAACCAAAGCCCCUUGCUCCAUGCCUCCUACCCUUCAAGAUUUCCUCAAAAAUUGCUUCUCCAAGCUUGCAAAUGCAACUUGAUCCACUCACACACGAAGGUUUGGGUUUCUGGACUUGAGGAUGAGUAAAGAGGCUGGGGGAAUGGAUGUUAUGUUCUUUAUAUAGGGCUCAACCCCGAGAAUUAGGGUUUUCUCCACUCAGCGCCUACUCGCCGAGUCCAGUCUUGGACUCGCCGAGUCGGCCACUUAACAAGCAACCAAAUCGCGACCCUACUCGCCGAGUCCACCCAUGGACUCGCCGAGUUCCCUUUUUCAAUUUACUCUUUUAGCCCUUCAACUCUACUCUCGAUAUUUCGGGAUGUUACCAUUCUCCCCCACUUAAAUUAGGCUUCGUCCUCGAAGCCUACGGCAACUCAACUCCAAAAAUACUCCCACAACGCGCCAACUGGCCUUAACCGAACCAGGUCCCUCAAGGCAUAACCAUCGAAACUCGAACUCACUUCCUCUUUCCUUGCGGUGUCCUGACGAUCCUUUCAAGCCGGGCACCGGCUGUACCCUCUGAUAAUCACACUCAACAACCGAGAAUUACCCAUGAUGCAUCACUGCUCCAAAUCUCAACAAUCACUCGACCCAUAUGAGCUAAAAAACCAUAAACCACUGGAUCCCCGAUCCGAAUCCCACUCUAUCCAUUCCGUGCUGACAGAAAGACCCAUUCUUCAAUCCCAGAGCAACUCCCACAAGUUCUCUUCUUGCAAUCACACGUACAUGCUGCACCAGCCCUCGCACUCUCGGGUUAGGAAAACCAGUCACACUGAUGACAUCUCCAACAUCCCCAGGAGGAACCACCACUACGUACACAACUCCUUAAUCAGAAUCAAGCUGGGAGUCCCAGACUCCAUCCCUGCAUCCAUCCUGAGACUCUUGGCUCUACACCCGCAGAAUCCCUUCCGCGUCCUCAGCAGACAUCCCAUCAUGAUGUCAUUCCAUACCACCACCGCAAUCAGGCUGCUCAAUGACCAACGUCGGACCUCUCCGAUCACAACUCUACACUACCGCUUUCAUUUCCGUGAAUUUACUCUUCCUCUCGGAGCUACACUCCUCUCUCUCUCUUUCCUUACCAAGGAAAUCCACUUGGCCGCCUUGUCGCCACGACAAGUGCCAUGGUGCUCACCCAACGCUGCAGCACCCCUUUAUAGCAUAACCGCUAUCCAAGCAACACAUAUGCAUUGACUCUGAUCGCAGGGACUCUCAAGCCCAUGCACUAUCUCAACUAAUCAAGAUCAUUACCCGGGGCCAGACCUUCAAAUGCUAUCACAUCGUAACGUACACAAACCAUAUCCUCGAACCGAUCCAACAAUACCUGCAGAGCCUUCAGCAUGACUGGACUGCCUCACCAGGCCUUCAGUGAAUCUGGACCACUCUCAGCACCUUCAACCAAUCUGGACCGCUCUCGGUGCCUUCAGUUUAGCUGGACCGUUCUCCGAGCCUUCGGCCUGACUGGUACGCCUACCGGCCUUCAGUCUAUCCGGACCGCUCAACUAGCAUUCAUCAUUCCGAGUUAUCACUCCGGGAAAUUUUCCAUGCAUACCGUUCUAGCCCUCUAGAGGUUCCGAACUCUAUCUCUAUCAUACAACUCAAUCCCGGCCUGAGCCCAGACCCUCCGCAAUUAACUACCCUUGGUCUGUAUUCCGCCCCGCAUGCCUGCCACUUACUCAUGCCAGCCUACGCUCUUGGCUGACAGAACACUGCCGAAUCCCAGGCAGCUCAACAAUCUCACAUACUCAUCGAUCAUCCGGAGAAUUUUCCAAUUCUCCCCCACUAGCACUAGCAACCUUCACAAUAUCACAUUCCCACAUUGAUCCUUCCGCUCGAAAGAAACUCAACCUGCAGCUAACCACUCCUCAGAUGGCAAAUGCUACCCGACAUUCAGACCAACGCCAGAUUCCUACUAACAACCCCAUGAAUGAUAACCAAUGAAAUUCCCAACACUAACCAACAAUCAUACCAUAAUUCCCAAAAACAACAAAUACCACACCAAGAACAGCACAAAGAUACUAGCACAUAAAAAAUACUCCACAAUAAUCAUAAGAUAACAAGACAUCAAGGAAGAAACAUACCCGUAGUCGCAUCCGGCACUGCUCCGACCUCCUCUGCUGCAAGCUGAAAAGCACGACCCUGAGCCCUUGGGGGCUCUGCUCCACCCUGACAUCCACCCAUGAUCCUUAAAGUGGCCGGUGCUGGAGCCUGCACCGGUCCUGCAGCGAGCUGUGGACAGUUGACCCUUAAAUAUCCAACCNAAACCCUCAAACCCCGACCCGACACUGACUGCCGACAAUCCCUCGCAUAGUUCCCCUCCCUUCCGCACUUGCGGCAUGCACCACCGGACCUAGAAACUCCGGUGUGACUCCUUCCACACUUCCCACAAGUGUGGCUACUCAGAUCCCCUACUCUAGAAUCAUCGGUCUUAGACCGUUUUGGCGCCGGCUGCAAUUGCACUGGAGCCUGCCUCAACUCACGCAUCUGCAACUCAAUCUCUAACUCACACCGCUUGGCGGCCUCCUGCAACUCCAACAAGGUCGCGCACCUCUGUGUAGACACAAACUGUCUGAUAUCCCUCUUGAGCAUGAUCAGAUAUCGAGACAUAUGAGCCUGCUCUGAAGCGAUCUCACGGCAGAACAUUGCCCUCUCAGUGAACAUCCUGGUGAUCUCAGUCACCGACUCCGAAUCCUGCUUCAGCUUAAAGAACUCCUGAGCCAAUCUCUCCCUCUCAACUCGCGGAACAUAGCGAGUACUGAACAUCUCCCUGAAUUGAUCCCAUGAAACCGCAGCCCUCUGCGCAUCCGAAUAUGACCCCGUGGUCAAUCUCCACCAAUCCUUCGCCCCGAGCCUCAACAGGUUCAGAGCACACCUCACCCUCUGAUCAGCAGGGCAUGAACACGUGAAGAAACACCCCUCCACGUCCGAUAACCAUCUCAUAGCAACAAUCGGGUCCUGAACUCCAUCAAAGGUGGGAGGCUUCGUAUUAUCGAAGUCCCGAUAAUGAAAACCCCGACCAGCUCCUCCCCUUGCCACUGCAACAGCCGUUGUAGCCGCCGCGGCAGCCGUCUCUGUGAGAGCUGCAUAGCGCUCAUCAAAAUACUCAACCAUGGCGGUCUUGAUCGACCCAAACAGCUCCGGCAACUCAGCCCGGAACAACUCAACAAACUCAUCACGCAGCAUCUCACGAAUCCUCGCAUCCAGCUCGCACGUUCUCAUCUGACCAAUAACCUCGGGCGGUACUGACCCGCCCGGAACUCCCUCUCCUGCUCCCGAUCCUGAUCCGGAUCCACUCCCAGCAUGCCUUGGAAUCUCCAUACUGAAAAACACAACACCAAAUCUCAGACACUUCCCACUAUCCCGGGAACCAACUCUCUCAACCCAACCCUAGAGGUCAUGGUUUCCCAUAUACGCGUAUGGGUCCUGUGCUUUCAGUAGUACGGGCCCAUACUACCUUCCACACCUACCCAUAUUUGUAUGAAGUACUACCACAACACCCUAGAGAAACAUGCAUAACAACGCUCAACCCUCACAACUAGAAGAACACUGGAAAUCUCUCACAAGGAAACCCUAGGCUACGGGCAUCACAAAUCAGGCAACCUUAUCAUGAAAUCCUGAAGAUCCCUAGCCUAGCACUAGCAUGUUGUUCUAACAAAGCUCAAAAACAAAUAUCAUGUAUGGUAUUUUGGGGUUACUUACUGGCUCCGGCUGAUCGUAUCUCCACGUCCUCCUUUACUUAUUUUGAAAACCAUUCUGAAUACUCUUUUGAAAACUCUCCUCGAUUAGAGAGUGGAGUCACACGAGUGUUCCUCCAAUUAAACUUGUAACAACCAAAAAUUUGAACCAAUUUAAAAUUUUCGAAAACAAUCUCAUUCCAUUAAAGUUAUUACAAAAAGGUUUUCAGUACAAUUUAUUUUAAGUAUUCCAAGAAUCUCAUCACAAUAUAAACACGAGGAGCGGUACGAUCACGCCUUCGCCUUGCCACGGUCUCCUGAAUAACCUGAAAAACAUUAAACCACAACUGUAAGCCCGAAAGCUUAGUGAGAUAUCCCCAAAAUACCAACCACAUAUACCAUACACGCAUAACAUGCCAUAACAUAUCCGAUCACAGAACAGCCAUGCACCUCGGGUCUACUGUGGGACUAGUCCGUCGCACCGACCAACAGUCCACCUGGUCCACCCUCUGAGUCUAGCCAUAUACCUCGAGUCUACAGUGUGAUUGGUCCGCCCGCACCGGGCCUUCAAUCCACCUGGUCCACUCUCUGAAUCUAUCCACAUACAUCGAGUCUGCAGUGUGAUUGGUCCGCCCGCACCGGGCCUUCAAUCCACCUGGUCCACUCUCUGAGUCUACAGUAUGACUGGUCCGCCCGCACCGGGCCUUCAGUCGGCCUGGUCCACUCUCCGAGCCUCGGCACGUCUGGUCCGCCCUCUUGGGGCCUACAGCCUAUCCGGACCGCUCGCUGGGCCUUCGGGACAACCGGUCCGCCCUGGGUAUCUUGGCCUACAGCACAAAGCAGGANNNNNNNNNNNNNNNNNNNNNNNNNNNNNNNNNNNNNNNNNNNNNNNNNNNNNNNNNNNNNNNNNNNNNNNNNNNNNNNNNNNNNNNNNNNNNNNNNNNNNNNNNNNNNNNNNNNNNNNNNNNNNNNNNNNNNNNNNNNNNNNNNNNNNNNNNNNNNNNNNNNNNNNNNNNNNNACAACCGGUCCGCCCUGGGUAUCUUGGCCUUCAGCACAAAGUAGGACCCGCCUCAACCCAACUCCAGUACAAACAACCAUGUGCACAUAUACAUACAAUCAUAUAGCAAUUCACAGUCAACAAGCAGAUCAAACAGAUCACAUAACAUAUCAUCAUCCUAACCAGGAUACCGACCUAACCGGUCACUAGCAUAGCAUCACCCUAUCUCUCAGGAUACCGAUCUCAAUCAGGUCUCUAACAAAUACCAUCCUAGCUACUAUGAUGCAAACAUAUCAAAGCAACAACAUAACAACAACUACCCGGAUUUCAAUCCGAUAAGGGCCGGCCUUGGUGCCGUAGACCUUGUUGAUAUAUUGAGGAUAACUCACCUCGAAACUGCCGGCUGAAAGGAUAAGAUCCCGCUACUCCAAACUCCGACACGAACUCCUUCACUGAACAACAGCAAAGCACUGAACUCAUUAAAUACCCAUAAUUACCAAAUUACCCCUGGUAGACAACUGGUCAACCCUUGGACAAAGUCAAAGUCAACCCCUGACUGACUCUACUCGCCGAGUCCCCAUGCUCAGAAUUCCCCCAAUCCGCGAUUCAACUCGUCGAGUCACCCCGAGACUUGCCGAGUCCAACGACUCUGAGUUCACUCAUACACAACUCACCGAAUCAUCCCUUGACUCACCGAUUCACGGCUCAACCAGAAAAGAUUGGAACUCUUCGACAAGACUCAUUGAGUCCAAGAACCGACUCGUCGAGUCUAAGGCUAUCUUCAACCUAGUCGCCGAGUUGUUCUUCUAACUCGUCGAGUUCCAGGCCAUCUUCAUCCAACUCGCCGAGUUGUUCUUCCAACUCGUCGAGUUCCAGCCUAUCUUCAAGCAACUCGUCGAGUCUACCCAUGUGACUCGCCGAGUACCACCGGUCUGAAUCCAUACAGAAGCAUUCCAGGCCAUGCAAUUGAUCCAAAACAUAGAUCUAGCCUCCUACAACCCAUCCAUCACGUAAAGUGGCAAACUUUACGUGAAUCCAAAGAGAUCUAGGCCUUUUACACUCUAGGGCUAGGGUUUGGGACAUGAUGGCUUCACUAAGCACUCAACCACAGGGACUUUAAUGAACUCUAGACCUUCCCCAUUCCAGAUCUGAGGUAGCAACCUCAGAUCUAACCUCCAAACUCCAAAACAUCCCAAGAUAAGCUCCCCAUAAACCCCAAAAUGAAGA
rnacentral:lncRNA from 1 species